rnacentral:lncRNA from 1 species
CAUGAUAGGUGUACGAUUUGCAUUUUCAGCAAUGGGGAAAGAAUAAGAAAAGAAUAAGGAAACUCUGUACCCUGACAGGGAAGGACCUCCAAUGUAGAAUAUGAAGUGACCAGAGCAAGGAGAAAAAUGAGAAUGCACAGUUGGCCCUUGAACAAAACAAGUUUGAACUGCAUGGGGCUGCUUAUACUCCUGAGAUAAUAAGGCCAACCCAUUUUCUUCCUUCUGCUCAGCCUGCUUAACGUGAAGAUGAUGAGGAUGAAAACCUUUAUGAUGAUCCACUUCCAUUUGAUGAAUGCUACAACAUAGCCAGGAAAAUAUCUUGCUUCAACUGAAAGAAAACAGCCCAUUAGUCUCUGGUGAAAGUCGAUUUAGGGAAAAUGAGUGUCAUAUAGCAGAGUGCUAGGACACUUGAAGCCCUCUUUUUAAAACACUCAUUCAUCUGAAAGGGAAAGGGGUUUUUACUACAAACCUUCCACAUAGCAGGACCUCCCACACAGAGGUAUGAGGAAUAUUAUCAUCUAUGUUACAGAUGAGAAAACUGAGGCUCAG